UAUAGUAGUGUUGUGAAUUUAAAUAAUGUGUUUACAAGAUGACGUUAUGGUGUAAAGAUAUUAGAAGACAGUGUGACAUACUACAGUAUACAUGGCUUGACUGCAUUAGUUAGAGGUUGGUAGCAUUUUUUUUUUUAAUUGUAGGCUAAUUUUACUUUUUAAUUUGUAUUUAAAUGUGAACCACUUGUAUGUUCAUUCUUCACAAAAACACUUCUGUACAUAAUAAGUAUAGGCUACUUGUUAACAUUUGCACAAGGUACAAAGGUGUGUUAUGAAGAUAAUUGUGCAUGGAUACAGCAUGUCAUUUAAAAGCUUUUUUUACUUGCAUUAAAAUGUAUGCAACUCAUGUUAAAUCAUGGGAGUGUUUAUUUUUUCCUGCUAGUGGAUGGUGUGUCUUAUCAACUGCAGGGGUUUUCAAAGUAUGUAGAUGACAUCGAAACUGUGUCAGAGACCCAUAAUGCUUUGGGGCAUAUUAAGAGGAAGUACAAUUGUUUCCCAUGGAUUCAGUGAGGUGCUGUGAGCUACAAAUUGACCCCAAUCAUUUUUUUAAUUUAUUUUUUCCUGUGGUUGUUGCGAUACUGGCAGCAUUAAAAGUAUGCCGAAUUAGAUACAAACAGUUCCUGUUUGCAUUGAACCCACGGACGUACGGACGACUCUCACUGGAUUACUGUGAUCCUAAAGAAAACUUAAGAACGUGAAGAUUCUCAGGCAAGUUCUGCAGUUAUGAGGAGCGUCAGUGAUUUCAAAGCGGAUUUAUGGACGUUUAUUCGAAAUGCACAUCGGAGAUUAUGAUGUCCUCGGAAACUGGAUUUGCAUGGAGAGGUGAGGCCACAAGGCGAGGCCACAGCGCUCCCAGGGACGUGCUCAUUAUCCCCGGAUUAAUGGAGCGGGAGAAUUUUCUGGGUCUGAAUGCAGGAAGGAUGAGCUGAUGUGAGGCCGUCCUCUCCUCCUCUAUCGGAGCCAGCUCCUCUGCUGAGCCCCACUUCUUCUUGGAGUGAAACAGCGAUACCAACUUCCUAUUCCUGUUCCGCUCUCUGGCCUGAGUGACUUGAAAAUCUGACAUCCCAAGAAACAAAAGUGAAAUGAUUAGGAAAAGCCAGAGGCGGAGCCAGAUGUUGGAAAUAUUCAGGGCUCAGCCCAAACCUAGGGGGGGUCCGGGGGCAUGAUACCCCGGGGAGAUUUUUUUUAUCCAUUUACGGCAACACAUUUUUGAAUCUAUUUGAUAAUAGAAUGCUUAAAAUUCUGUACAUCAUUUGGGAAAAACAUGAUAGUGGCCAAGAAAGAAAUCAUCCUGUAGAGCCUAUGUCCUAUUUUCUAUCUAGUUGUUCUCCACCUGUCUUCAUCAUUCUGAAACCAGAACACAACACAUGUUUAGGAUGACUUUCACUCCUGCCACCUAAAAAGAGGCAAACAUGGACUCUUUAAGUUAAAUAACUUAGUAUAGGUGUGGUAGGAAUCUGACGUAAACAGCAUUACUAAUGCUGAAACCUAUUUUAGUUACUGUAUAGUAUGCUGGAGGAGAGUUCCCAGAAUGAAGCGGUGAAAUCGGCUACAUUUGAAUCCAUCCCAUAAUAAUCUGGGUCCGUAUUUAUCAAGCCUCUGAUAAUUACUCACAAGAACACUGCUAAGAAUUGACCUAAGAGUAAAAAAAAAAGUCUUGGCUCAAAGCUGCACUUAAAAGUUAGUUAUCAAGCACUUCAGUCGUACGUUGAGUGAAGUAAAGGAGUGUAUGUUAAGUGUCGGUCUUAGAGAUGAUUGGCGACACUUUGCUGUGCCACAAACAGGAUUUUGGAUGUAGACAUACAGCAGGCGUGGACCAAUCACUAGAUAGAUUUCCUUAUUUAAGAACAUUCUCAGAUAAAUUCACAUUGAAUGGUGAAAUUCCUAAGAGGAGUUUACAUUCAACACACAUUUGACAAGGAAAUAAUUUUUCAA